UCACUUUUCUUGAUAGUCUAUAGCUCAGAAUGUAUAAGGAAUUUUAAUAACAUUUUCCUGUUUUUAUUAUGACGGAAUUAACUAAUGCUCGUAAUACCAAGCAGAAAUUUCUAGCCCAAUUAUCUCUUCUGCACGCUGAAUCGCAAUCGCAAACGGUAAUAGCGCAAACGAGCGUUUGUCGACAAGAAGAUAAAAUGGUUAGAACAGGAAAAAGCACAACUGGAACAAGAGCAAGCGGGGUAUUAUACAGUAAUUAGUUAAAGGUCAAGUUUUCACAAAACUUUGUUAUAUUGGAUCGUCUCCGUUCACACUCGCACAACAGUGCCCAUAAGAAACUGCAAGCAUCGUUCCGUGAGAAGUCCGUAGACCCCGAGCGGAAUCUGGGUUCAUUCCGGGAGGACGAAAAGAAAAUAUGUACGCGGACUAGUUCCGCUUUGAUGAGAUUGACAAGCUUAAAAUCGGUUAAUGUCCGACGGCACGCUGAGGAAGAGAAAACGUUGCCGCUGCAUCAACUUCACGAGAUGGAACUGGCUGUACAGAAAGCCAAAAGGCAAAACCGAAAUGACCCAGAGUAAAGCCACCAAUCAGGAUCAGCUGCUGCUGUUGGAGAACAACACUGACGGCUUACGGAACACCGCCAAGCACUUGUCGGAUCUCUAUAUUAUAUAAAAUGGAAUAGCUUGCUAACGAUGGACUGAGACGAUUGAGGGACGAUCUACUUCAUAAUAAGGAAAUCCAGCCACAAUCAAAAAUAAGCGCACACCUAGUGUUCCUGUACAUAUGCAGGAUAGA